rnacentral:rRNA from 1 species
UCACUGGUCGAGUCGGCCUGCGCGGAAGAUGUAACGGGGCUAAACCAUGCACCGAAGCUGCGGCAGCGAACGUAUCACCCAAGACAACUUUACGGAGUUGACGAUUGACGGAGCGAAGCGACGUCAAAGCGUUCAUUAAAGUCGAGUUGGCUUAGGGAUACGUUCGUUGGGUAGGGGAGCGUUCUGUAAGCCUGUGAAGGUGUGUCGUGAGGCAUGCUGGAGGUAUCAGAAGUGCGAAUGCUGACAUAAGUAACGAUAAAGCGGGUGAAAAGCCCGCUCGCCGGAAGACCAAGGGUUCCUGUCCAACGUUAAUCGGGGCAGGGUGAGUCGACCCCUAAGGCGAGGCCGAAAGGCGUAGUCGAUGGGAAACGGGUUAAUAUUCCCGUACUUGGUGUUACUGCGAAGGGGGGACGGAGAAGGCUAUGUUGGCCGGGCGACGGUUGUCCCGGUUUAAGCGUGUAGGUGUGUGUUCCAGGUAAAUCCGGUUCACUUUAACACUGAGGCGUGACGACGAGGCACUACGGUGCUGAAGCAACAAAUGCCCUGCUUCCAGGAAAAGCCUCUAAGCAUCAGGUAACACGAAAUCGUACCCCAAACCGACACAGGUGGUCAGGUAGAGAAUACCAAGGCGCUUGAGAGAACUCGGGUGAAGGAACUAGGCAAAAUGGUGCCGUAACUUCGGGAGAAGGCACGCUGACACGUAGGUGAAGUGAUUUACUCAUGGAGCUGAAGUCAGUCGAAGAUACCAGCUGGCUGCAACUGUUUAUUAAAAACACAGCACUGUGCAAACACGAAAGUGGACGUAUACGGUGUGACGCCUGCCCGGUGCCGGAAGGUUAAUUGAUGGGGUCAGCGUAAGCGAAGCUCCUGAUCGAAGCCCCGGUAAACGGCGGCCGUAACUAUAACGGUCCUAAGGUAGCGAAAUUCCUUGUCGGGUAAGUUCCGACCUGCACGAAUGGCGUAAUGAUGGCCAGGCUGUCUCCACCCGAGACUCAGUGAAAUUGAACUCGCUGUGAAGAUGCAGUGUACCCGCGGCAAGACGGAAAGACCCCGUGAACCUUUACUAUAGCUUGACACUGAACAUUGAGCCUUGAUGUGUAGGAUAGGUGGGAGGCUUUGAAGUGUGGACGCCAGUCUGCAUGGAGCCGACCUUGAAAUACCACCCUUUAAUGUUUGAUGUUCUAACGUGGACCCGUAAUCCGGGUUGCGGACAGUGUCUGGUGGGUAGUUUGACUGGGGCGGUCUCCUCCUAAAGAGUAACGGAGGAGCACGAAGGUUGGCUAAUCCUGGUCGGACAUCAGGAGGUUAGUGCAAUGGCAUAAGCCAGCUUGACUGCGAGCGUGACGGCGCGAGCAGGUGCGAAAGCAGGUCAUAGUGAUCCGGUGGUUCUGAAUGGAAGGGCCAUCGCUCAACGGAUAAAAGGUACUCCGGGGAUAACAGGCUGAUACCGCCCAAGAGUUCAUAUCGACGGCGGUGUUUGGCACCUCGAUGUCGGCUCAUCACAUCCUGGGGCUGAAGUAGGUCCCAAGGGUAUGGCUGUUCGCCAUUUAAAGUGGUACGCGAGCUGGGUUUAGAACGUCGUGAGACAGUUCGGUCCCUAUCUGCCGUGGGCGCUGGAGAACUGAGGGGGGCUGCUCCUAGUACGAGAGGACCGGAGUGGACGCAUCACUGGUGUUCGGGUUGUCAUGCCAAUGGCACUGCCCGGUAGCUAAAUGCGGAAGAGAUAAGUGCUGAAAGCAUCUAAGCACGAAACUUGCCCCGA